GUGAAGUGAUGAUGAUAUUUUAUCCAUUUCUCUGAGUGUUGGGACUGUUCUUCUCUUCCUGCCACAUCUGGAUCCCUGUUCUAGGGGCCCUGAUGCUAUGACCCCUCCGGACUCCCCCUAGCCUUGCGGUGUUCUUCUGGGGGCUGUGGUGGGGGGUUAGGCUGGCUACUGGAAGGAUCUGUGCAGGCAAGCAGGAGCCAAAGGUGCUUUACUGUGGGACUCUGGCUUAACCAAGAAGAAUUAAACUGUCUGAUCAC